rnacentral:lncRNA from 1 species
UACCAGAAAUUUUGUGCCUAAGUUGAAGAUUAUCAGUAAUAUUCUCCACCUGCAAACAUCAUUAACAUGUAUGAGUCUCAGUCGUGUAAAUGGAAAGCAUAUAACCAAUUUCCAGCGGCACCUGCAAACAAUGGCUUUGUCAUUGGUACCAAAUAGGCCAUCUGCACAAUGCAUAGCCAAUGCUAUUGAUGGAGAUUUUAGAACCUAAGUCAAUAUGCAUCUGCUAGCAAUACCUACCAAAACACUAGCAUCAUUUACUGUACACAUCAAAGCUUGAUAAAAUAACACAAAUAAUUAAACUAUGGAACCAAAUGCCAACAUGCUAGAAACAUAAAUGUGCAACGACAACAAGCACCUUAAAAAUGCGGACACUACAUAGCUUUCCCUUCGAAUUGAACCUUUAUUUAUUAUAUUCUAUGACUCCCUACUUGCAGAAUAAUAAUCCAUACAUUUUUAUCCCGUUGUUAAUGUUAUAAAGCAUAGCACUGGACAAGGAACCAGAAGCAUUUUAAUAGGCUCAAACACAUAGCAAUCUACUUAACAGCAGAAUUAGCUAAGGGGAAGGCGGCGGGAUAAGUGCAUUCUUAUUGUAACAAAACAAUGAAUACUUAGGACAUCCAAAGCAAAUAAUUCCAUGUAGCUAAGUCGAGAGAGUUACGUAAAACUUCCCAAUUAUCUCCUUUAAUUUCCUGAAAUUUCUAGGAAACCAAACAGGAUAAGAAGAGAGUACCUUCUAGGGAAGGGCAGCGAGGAGAGAGUGCUUGCUCGAAUUCCAAUAAUAUAAGCUGGAAGACCCGUCCCAUGCCAACAGGUUCCCCGGCGCUCGAGCAGCGGCUGCCGUGGAGGAGGGGAGGAAGUGAAGAGCGGGUGGGACUUGAAUGGGAAGUAAUGUACGACGUCGUUUCCCUUUUUUUGGAAAAGUUGCUUUUUUAAAAAAAAUUUACUUUUAGUCCCUAGUAUUUAUCAUAAUUCAUGGAUGGUUUUCAUUCAGCACAAUAC